rnacentral:tRNA from 1 species
GCCGUGAUAGCUCAGUAGGGAGAGCGCAAGACUGAAGAUCUUGAAGUCCCGUGUUCGAUCCACGGUCGCGGCA